UACGAGGGGGGCGAGCGUUGUUCGGAAUUAUUGGGCGUAAAGGGCGCGUAGGCGGUGCGGUAAGUCACCUGUGAAAUCCCCGAGCUCAACUUGGGAAUUGCAGUGGAUACUGGCAAGCUGGAGUAUGGUAGAGGAAGGUGGAAUUCCCGGUGUAGCAGUGAAAUGCGUAGAGAUCGGGAGGAACACCAGUGGCGAAGGCGGCCUUCUGGACCAAUACUGACGCUCAUGCACGAAAGCGUGGGGAGCAAACAGG
rnacentral:rRNA from 1 species